ACAGCCACGUCAGGUUGAAACACCGGUUCCCGUAUGAUCACUGAAGUUAAGCAACGUCGAGCCUGAUCAAUACCAAGAUGGGUGAUCGCUUGUGAAUAUCAUCU